AACCCGCGAUUCAUCUGUUUCAUCUUAUCCAGACUCCCCGUCCUCGCGGCGCUUUACCUCGCGGCGCUCCGCUCCGCCCGCCCCGCCCACCUCCUGCUACGCCCCUCGCGCCGCCGGCCGCCUCCUGCCCCGCUCCGCCCCUCACCACGCGCCGCCGGCCUUCUCCUGCCUCCCAAUCCCAUCUCGCGGCUUUCUUCGCCGUUCACCGCUCCCCUCCACCUACUGGUCGCGACCUCGUGGGAGGCAGAGGAUGGGAGGGUGCGGCGCUGGCGUCCGACUCCAGGAGCUCGAGAGGGCCGAUCUGCGCAUCGGCGACCUCGCGGGAGGCAUGGCGUGGCGUGUUGCACUCGAGACGAGCGGGCUCGAGUAAGGGGAUUGGAGGGUGGCGCCGACGGGAUCGUGGACGGGGAUGGAGUGGGCGGGUGCCGGCAAGAUCGAGGCCGGGGAUGGAGAGGGCGGUCAGCGAGCUGGCGGCUGAGGAUGGAAGAGGCGGCACUAAUUUGCUGCUACCCGCACCGCACCACGUCCCUAGCUUCCUCCUCUCUGAUCGAACCGAGUCCGUUUUACAAAGGGAUCCGGCGACUAGAGGGGAGCUGCCACCGGUGACGCUGCCGGAGAAGCUGGCGAGGUUCCUCCAGAAGUGCGCCGAAGGAGUUCCAGAACGAGCCCCGGUAUAGCGGCGACCGGUGGUACCUUCGCGGCUGGGUUCUAGAUGAACAGGCAUGGUGGGAGGGCGAUGCUCUGUUGACUGCUUUUCUUAUAAUAUUACAGAGGGAGGAUCGAAGUGGAGAUUGGUACUUUCCCUUUCAGCGGCCAAAGAAAAGCAACACUUUUUCAUGUGAUUUCAGAUGAAACGACCAGAGUGUGUAAAAUCUGGAUCGCUACAAACAGGUCAAGGUUAGUUAUGUUUUUCCUUUUGAUAUUCUCUAGAUAAUGCUAUCAAGCAAGAUCAACUUAGGACAAUAUAAUCUACUAUUUACUUUCUUUGUGUUUCAGUACGUUCAAACUAUUUACAUGUGUGCAAAUGGGCAUAUUUUGAUUAUGCGACUUGGUGUCUUACUUGUUCUGCCUAACUGUUGGAUCCUAGCUCUUAUGUUAUCUACCUAUAGCCAGUGCAUGCCAAAAAAUAAAAAUAAAACCUAUGGCCAGUGAUAUGUUUAUGGCUGGAUGUCUACUGCUUCUGUCAAUGCCAUAGUAGAUUCAAUCGAAACUGAUAUAUCUGAACAACAAUUGUUUCAUUUCGAUCAUAUAACAUUAUUUUUGCUGAAAAAUCACAAUGUUUUCUUCAAGUUUGUGGGUGUUUUCCCUGAUCUGUUUGCAACUUGGCAUGAGAGUCCGUUUAUGCAUGUAGUUAUUUUGGUCCAGAAAUCGACCAUGGAUGAUGCUUCUUAUUUUGAAGAGACUAAGUUCUUCCGAGCCUCCGAUAAAAUAAAUAAAGAGGACUUUAAUGAGAUGAUGCUUCUUAUUUAAUGUUGUUAGAUCUCCUAAAAUAAUUUGAAGGCGUGGGGCUUGCUGGUCAAGUAGGUUGCGCCGCUCCAUCAGGAUGUCCUCCCCCACUGUAGUGUUAACUGAUUAAUCAUGCACAUCCAUUAAAGCAAAGAUUCAGAAAAAUGUUUAGUUCACUAAUUAAUCAGUCAGUAAAGGACCAAUUGUUUAAUCCUACUAUUUAGACACUCCAUCCAUCCAAUCCAGUGAGUUUAAAUUGAUUAAUCAUGCACAUUCUUAAAUUAUGAAGAGUAAAAAAAGAUUUUGGUGUUGGAGGAGCAGCCAGCAAGUGUAGUUUGCAAACCAAAUGCAGUUUCUAUAGUGAACACUGAUUUGCGACCUCAGCUCAGCCAUAUUGAACGGAUUGAUUGCUCUGUGAAAUAGGAGUUAGCCCAUAAUAGAAAUGCCACUCCAAUAUUGGAGGAAGUGUUGAUUGAGCUGAGAAAUUUACUUGACGAUGAAAGGAACAAUUUGCUUCAAAAUUUGCAGAAUAACUUCUCCAAGCUCUCAGAAGAGAAGCAAUAAUGUGACUCCCAGGUGCCUCUCUGAGAGAAAAGCUGGAGAUGCUUUGCCAGUGGCAAAACAAAGGGAAGUAAUUGCUACGGACGCCAGCCAGGUGUUCAUGCUAUUGGAUUAAUGUUUUCUGCUCUUAAUAAUGCUUCCGUUUUUCUUCUUUUAGAACCCUUCUUUUGUACUCUUACAAAUAGCAGAUGAAAGGAGAAGGAUGAAGAAGUCAAGCUAUUGGAGAGAUCAAUUGAGGAGCUCAAAAGAACUUUAGUGUUCUCAAAAGUAGCUUUAUUUAGUUUGAGUGAAUUUUGUGGCCUAAGUGUUGUAGCUAUUCAUUUUGCCACGCAUUCUGAAUGUUAGUACACACCCAUGUUGGUACAGAACUCCUAUUGUUAUGCCUGUUAUGACAACAACUUUCCCAGAUUUUUGUGCAUAAACAUACAUAUGUGGACUAAAUUCUUUUGUUACUUGCUCAGCCAAUACAUAUGUAUGCUUUUUUUUGCG
rnacentral:rRNA from 1 species